rnacentral:lncRNA from 12 species
AUGCUUCUCUGGUCCCCGUCUUCAGAGCUGCUCGGAGCUCACCCCCCAGGAGCCUGCCAGGAGCGAGAGGAACUGAACUUCAGCGAGGCGGAAGGCGAUCCCCACUCUGCCCAGGUGCUGCUUCCCCCGGGGCUCGGGGCUUGGCAGGCGCAGCACCCCAGUCUGCGCAGCCGAGGUGAGCCUGUGAGGCAGGAAGGCCCCCUCGUCCACUGCCAGGCCCGGGUCGCCCCCAGGCAACGUAGCUCCUGCUGCCUGCUCAAGCUCUUCUGCCUCUCAGGCCAGCGAAACUUCCCUGCAGAGAUCACCGCGUGCUCAUUCUGGUGCCUCUGGGACCCUAUUUGGAAGCUCCCGUGUGUCUUCAUGAAAGCCAACUUUGCAGCCAAGAGAGCCCUGACCUGGGUCCCUUUUCCGCAGGACACAGCCAGUCAGGAUGGUGGCCCUCGCCAGACCCCGGUUCCCCACUGCGUGCAGGUAUCUGGGCAGGACCCAGAUUCCUUGGGGACCUCUGGGGGCGACCUUACAAAUGUUCCCCCCUCCCGGCCAAAGGGGUGCACCCCCAUCUGGCCGCUUCCUUUUGGAAACUUUGGUUUGGGGGGGGCAUGUCCUCCGGGUCUGGCCCUCAACGGCCGUGCCCGGCCCUGUUAAGACUUUAGGGCCCGGCCCGGCCCGGCCAGGGCUGGCCAGGGCGGGCCAGGCCGGGCCAGGCCUGCUGAAAGGGGGGCCCCCCCCCCCGCCCCCCGCCGCCCGCACUUUUGCAUUUAAUCACCCCCGCUUCGC